GUUUUCAGGAAUCUGCAACCCCAAUUCCUAAGGACCCUCAAAGGUUUCGGCCCAAGAGAGCUGCAGUUUUGGUCUGCAUUUUUGAAGGUGAUGCUGGUGAUUUUCGUGUCAUUUUAACUAAGAGGUCGUCGCGAUUAUCUACUCACUCAGGUGAAGUUUCAUUGCCUGGUGGGAAAGCGGAGGAGGGUGACAAGGAUGAUGGUGACACAGCAACAAGAGAGGCAAAGGAAGAAAUUGGGUUGGAUCCUGCACUUGUUGAUAUUGUUACUGUUCUUGAACCAUUUUUGUCCAAGCAUCUCCUGAGAGUAAUUCCUGUUAUAGGCAUACUACGUGAUAAGAAAGAAUUCA
rnacentral:misc_RNA from 1 species